rnacentral:rRNA from 1 species
CGACGACGUUGAUAGGCCGGGUGUGUAAGCGCAGCGAUGCGUUGAGCUAACCGGUACUAAUGAACCGUGAGGCUUAACCUUACAACGCCGAAGGUGUUU